ACACAGGCUUUCUGGUGACUGAGUCAACAGUAUCUGUUUCAUAAAUAAUGUAGCCUUAUUUCUUUCUUUCUUUAUUUCUUUUUUUUUUUUUUUUUUUUUGAGACAGGGUCUUGCUCUGUUACCCAGGCUGGAGUGCAGUGGUGCGAUCUUGGCUCACCGCAACUUCCGCCUCCCGCAUUCAAGUGAUUCUUCUGCCUCAGCUUCCCGAGUAGCUGGGAUUACAGGUGCCACCAUGCCUGGCUAAUUUUGGUUUUUGUUUUUUUGUGGGGUUUUUUGUUUAUUUUUUGAGAUGGAGUUUUGCUCUUGUUGCCCAGGCUGGAGUGCAAUGACACAAUCUCGGCUCACCACAACCUCUGCCUCCUGGGUUCAAGCGAUUAUCCUGCCUUAGCCUGUUGAGUAGCUGGGAUUACAGGCAUGCACCACCACUCCUGGCUAAUUUUGUAUUUUUAGUAGAGACGGGGGUUUCUCCAUGUUAGUCAGGCUGGUCUCAAACCCCCGACCUCAGGUGUUCCACCCGCCUUGGCCUCCCAAAGUGCUAGGAUCACAGGCAUUAGCCACCGCACCCAGCCUAAUUUUUGUACUUUUAGUAGAGAUGGGGUUUUACCAUGCUGGCCAGGCUGGCUCGAAUUUCUAACCUUAAGUGAUCCGCCUGCCUCGGCCUUUCCAAGUGUUGGAAUUACAGGCAUGAGCCACCACGCCCAGGCAGCCCUAUUUCUUUAAACCUAUAUAUUUUGCACUUGUUAAAAGUAUUUGUACAUACACUUAUCCAGCUUCCCUUGUUUAUGUAUGCUUGAAUUUUGUAUAAGCUUAAAUAUUUUUUCCAAUCUAAGCUUUAUUUUAUCCCCUUUCUUCUACAUUUGUAUAACUUUAGGUGACUGUCUUUGUUAAAGUUUUUUCUGAAAAGGCUUAAAAUACAAUAUAGUUCUUGGCAUCAACUUGAAAGUUAUUUGAGGAGAAAGGGAGAUUUAUAAUGAUGAUUCAAAUGAAGCAAACUAAAAAAUAAUGAAGCAAGACGAGGAAAAAGCAGUAUUCACUUGAGCACAUCCCAAAAGAAUAACAUUUCAAAUAUGAUGAUUAUUCUCCACCUUCUAAGAGACAAAGACCAACGAGCCACCACAGCCACCAGUCCCGGAACCCGCCAAUGCUGGGGAACCGAAAGUGAGGGAGUUCAACUCUGAGAAAUGGAAUAAUCGUAUGGCUGAUCUAUGUAAACAAGUUGAAGAAUUGUCUGAAAGAAAAUAUGGUAUGUCUAAACUGGAAAAGUCCUGUAAUCCUUUGUUCAUGAGCAUUUACACAAUGGAGUUACUGUUCAUCAUGGGGUACUGUGGACAAGCCCAGGGCUGCUGGUGAAUCCUGCCAUACUUACAGGUUUCUCCUUGUAAGGUUCUUUGUAGUGUCUAAAUAUUAGAAACAUUCUUUGUUUCUAGAUUACUGCAAAGCUAAGGAAAAGUUGUACUUCUUUAAUUAUCAUUAUCAUUUCUUUUAAACUUUCAGCAUGGAUAUUGGAGAUUUACUUACAUAUUUAUUGCAAAGCCCUGGAUCUUAGGGAUUUAAUUGAAUGUUUUAAUACUGUUUCUCUUAAUCUGCCUUGUUAAAUUUGGU